rnacentral:rRNA from 1 species
CCUACGGGUGGUAGCAGUGGGGGAUCUUGGACAAUGGGGGAAACCCUGAUCCAGCGACGCCGCGUGAGUGAAGGAGUAUUUCGGUAUGUAAAGCUCUGUCAGCAGGGAAGCAAGAAAUGACGGUACCUGACCAAGAAGCCCCGGCUAACUACGUGCCAGCAGCAGCGGUAAUACGUAGGGGGCAAGCGUUAUCCGGAGUUACUGGGUGUAAAGGGAGCGUAGACGGUGAUGCAAGUCUGGAGUGAAAGGCGGGGGCCCAACCCCCGGACUGCUCUGGAAACUGUGUAACUUGAGUGCAGGAGAGGGAAGCGGAAUUCCUAGUGUAGCGGUGAAAUGCGUAGAUAUUAGGAGGAACACUAGUGGCGAAGGCGGCUUACUGGACUGUAACUGACGUUGAGGCUCGAAAGCGUGGGGAGCAAACAGGAUUAGAUACCCCGGUAGUC